GCUCCAGGCUCUGAGCUGUCAGCACAGAGAGAGCCUGAUGCGGGGCUCAAACUCACGAACCUGUGAGCUCAUGACCCGAGCUGAACACUCAACCGACUGAGCCACCCAGGCACCCAACCCAGUUUCAUUUCUUAGGCCAUCAGUGGAUUGUUUUUUCCCAUCAUUCACAGAGCUGGGAAAGAGCUGUGAUGGCCAUGCCAACACCUGCCGUGGAAGAAAAGAGAGGUGGCACAAGGUCACAAAUUUUACUUUUGCAAAACAUGGUCAGGGGGCCACGAAAAUUCUCAAAGGAGACAGCAUUUAUAAUUAAGAUUUUAAGCCAGGAUUGGGUCCCUUUCUUGGUAUCUGUUUUAGAAGUAUUAGAAGUGCCAAUAUUGAUCCAAGAGACAGAGGGACUUAAAGUGUCUAAGUCCAAGGUUGCAGUCAUCCCCAAGACCAGAUCACCUCUGCUUUGACUGACCCCGGCAACAAGAGCCAAUAAAUCCUCUCUGGUUUGGGUGA